UGAACGCUGGCGGCAGGCUUAACACAUGCAAGUCGAGCGGUAACAGAUCCAGCUUGCUGGAUGCUGACGAGCGGCGGACGGGUGAGUAAUGCAUAGGAAACUGCCCAAUAGUGGGGGAUAGCCCGGGGAAACCCGGAUUAAUACCGCAUACGUCCUACGGGAGAAAGCAGGGGCUCUUCGGACCUUGCGCUAUUGGAUGUGCCUAUGUCGGAUUAGCUAGUUGGUGGGGUAAAGGCCUACCAAGGCGACGAUCCGUAGCUGGUCUGAGAGGAUGAUCAGCCACAUCGGGACUGAGACACGGCCCGAACUCCUACGGGAGGCAGCAGUGGGGAAUUUUGCGCAAUGGGGGAAACCCUGACGCAGCAACGCCGCGUGAAGGAUGAAGGCCUUUGGGUCGUAAACUUCUGUCAGAGGGGAAGAAAUGCCCGCAAGGGAGCUGACGGUACCCUCAAAGGAAGCACCGGCUAACUCCGUGCCAGCCGCCGCGGUAAUAC
rnacentral:rRNA from 1 species